UACAGAGGUCUCAAGCGUUGUUCGGAUUCAUUUGGCGUAAAGGGUGCGUAGGCGGCGCGGUAAGUCGGGUGUGAAAUCUUGGAGCUUAACUCCGAAACUGCAUUCGAUACUGCCGUGCUUGAGGACUGGAGAGGAGACUGGAAUACUUGGUGUAGCAGUGAAAUGCGUAGAUAUCAAGUGGAACACCAGUGGCGAAGGCGAGUCUCUGGACAUUUCCUGACGCUGAGGCACGAAAGCCAGGGGAGCAAACGGG
rnacentral:rRNA from 1 species